rnacentral:lncRNA from 1 species
GGCCAGCAGUUGGAAGGGAUCCCAGGGAUGGGCUCAGCUACUCAGGGCAGCAGCCAGGCAUCGGUGCAGAGGAAAGCCAACAGAUUUUUCUUUAAAAAUGUGAAACUAGCAGUAUAAACCAGUGUUUUGAAGUACAAAGGUAAAUAGCAGAACAUACCAGUGAACGCAUGUAAGUGGCUGUCUUGUGGGAGAGGAAACUGAAGAUAUAGUGGAGACUAUUGUUUUUGUUUUGCAACGUUUGGGGCUGACUUUCCAGAAUUACCCAGGAUUGACCUGUGGGAGAUAUCUGGGCCCCCUGUGCCUUGCAAAGCUUCACAUGGGUGAUGAUGUUGAAGACCAGGUGCGGAUCAAUGGGGGCUCCAUGGCAAAUGAGAAACAGAGGAAGAAGAACUAACCUUCCUACCCACCAGUGUUCACUGGCACUCAACCAUAGCCUUGCACUUGUUUCUGGAGGAAGGGCCAUUGGGAUCAACUUAAGAACAUGGCAGAACAGAGAUGCUUGCUGAAUUAGUUGGUUGGAAGCACAAAAUUAUUUUAGUAGUUGUUGCAAAUUGCUUCACUUCUCUGGGUUUAAGUGUAGAACUCAAUGGUAAUGCGAAUAGACUUGAUCUCCAUAGGGUCGUUGUAGGGACUCAAUGAGAUAGAUUCUGUAGAGCUUUGGGCUUGAUUGGUGCACAGUGUUCAAUGAGUGUGCUGGGAGAAACUCUUCUCCCCACUUCUGGUGUUUCCUUCCAGGAGGAGAGAGGUCCCUCUGGGUAGCACCCCUGGCCUCUCUGUCUGCUUCCUGGGUUCUGCCUUUGGAAGUGGGAGGUGAUGUGCUUGGUAGAGAAGCUUGAGGGCAGGAGCUGGGUCUGGGUAGCUCAGCUGCUUCCUCUUCCAUUCUCAGGAGCCAGCUGUCUAUGGGAAGCACCCAUUCUGGUCAGCCCCCAUAAGCCAUAAAUGUACAGGGGCAGGCUGGAUCCUUCGGGGAAGGCGGCCCCAGUUAGCGUGGCUAAGUCUGCACAUUCAGGAUAGUGUUCCUAGCUGACACAUUGGGCCUAGUGCCUAGUGAACAAGCAGUGGAACGUGGGGAGCAAAUUAAUACUCAAGGACUGAGGCUUUUGAGGGGACCAGGCCAUCAGAUUUUUAUUUUAUUUUAUUUUAUAUUUUUACAGGCAAGCUGCUAUUUUUAUACAGGCAUAAGCCUUAGCAAAAGUGGGUUGAGUUGGUUCCUGAGGCCUUAGGCUAAGAGCGGCUGCAGCUCACCCUGGGCAAAACCGUGCCUGCCUCAGCAUGGGCCACCAGGUUCUCUGAAGAUGCCAGUAGGCCUUAGGGCCCCUGUGGACAGGCAUUGCAGAUAUGCUUUGAUUAUAGGGAAAAGAAAGUUUACCCAUAUAUAGACUCUUUUAGUGUCUGACUGCUGUUGUAACAAAUUGCCACACUUAGUGGCUUAAGACAACACAACCUUCUUAUCUUGCUGUUCUGGAGGUCAGAAGUCCAAAAGGGUUUCACUGGGUCAAAAUCAAGGUACAUAGUCACGUUGAAAAUAAAGGUGCAUAGUCACGCUCCCUCCAGAGGCUCUAGGAGAGAAUCAAUUUCCAUGCCUUUUCCAGCAUCUAGAAGCCCUCUGUCUUCCUUUGCUGAUGAUCCUUUCCUCCUCCUUCAAAGCCAACAGUGUAGCAUCUUCUCGUCCCUCUCUGUUCUGUUGUUAUAUCAUCUUUACUUCACUCUGAGCCUCCUGCCUCCUCUUAGGAGGACCCUGGUGAUUACAUUUAGGACCCACUGGGGUCAUCUAGCACAAUCUUUCCAUCUCAAGGUCUUUAAUUUCAUCACAUCUUCAAUAUCCCUUUACCAUAGCCACAGGCUCCAGAGACUCAGCCAUAAACAUCUUUGGACAGAAACAUCAUUAUUCAGCCUACCACAUAGACCUUUUUCUUUAAUUUUUAGUUUUAUGAGUACAUAGUAGGUAUAUAUAUUUAUGGGGUACAUGAGGUACUUUAAUACAGGCAUAUAAUGCAUAAUAAUCCCAUUAGGGUAAAUGGGGUAGCCAUCACCUCAAGAAUUUGUCCUUACUUUAGUGUUACAAACAAUCCAAUUAUGCUCCUUUAAUUAUUUUAAGAUGUAUAAUAAAUUUGGAUUGACUGUCA